GUGCAGCAGUCGCGAAACCUCCGCAAUGCACGCAAGUGCGACGGGGGAACCCCAAGUGCCACUCUUAACGGGGUGGCUUUUCAGAAGUGUAAAAAGCUUCUGGAAUAAGGGCUGGGCAAGACCGGUGCCAGCCGCCGCGGUAACACCGGCAGCUCAAGUGGUAGCCGCUUUUAUUGGGCCUAAAGCGUCCGUAGCCGGUCUGAUAAGUCUCUGGUGAAAUCCCACAGCUUAACUGUGGGAAUUGCUGGAGAUACUAUCAUGACUCGAGGUCGGGAGAGGCUGGAGGUACUCCCAGGGUAGGGGUGAAAUCCUGUAAUCCUGGGAGGACCACCUGUGGCGAAGGCGUCCAGCUGGAACGAACCUGACGGUGAGGGACGAAAGCCAGGGGCGCGAACCGGAUUAGAUACCCGUGUAGUCC
rnacentral:rRNA from 1 species